UAAACCUCAUGAAAGAAGGGAUGGUUUUAAGGAACAUGAGCUAUGAUACCAAUUGUAACGACCCCCUUUCUCUGUUGAGAAAUAAGCGCUACUCCAGACAUAUAGUCUGAUAAAUUUAUGCAGUAAUAAGCGAAAACCUAAGAUUCAAUCAUCCCUAUACGGAAUUACGAGACAUGAGACUUACAAGAUCUUUUACCUUACAUCGCUAUAAUAUAAUUAAACUAACUUUAUAAGGCGAACUCUUACUGUC
rnacentral:lncRNA from 1 species